rnacentral:tRNA from 1 species
GGAGACACUGUGGCUCAAACACAGAGCAUCUGCUUUGCAUGCCAAAGGUCCUAGGUUCAAUCCCUGCCAUCUCCA